rnacentral:rRNA from 1 species
GACGAACGCUGGCGGCGUGCUUAACACAUGCAAGUCGAACGGAAAGGCCCCUUUGGGGGUACUCGAGUGGCGAACGGGUGAGUAACACGUGAGUAACCUGCCCUUGACUUCGGGAUAACUUCAGGAAACUGGGGCUAAUACCGGAUAGGAAUCCUUGCUGCAUGGUGGGGGUUGGAAAGCUUCGGCGGUUUUGGAUGGACUCGCGGCUUAUCAGCUUGUUGGUGGGGUAGUGGCUUACCAAGGCUUUGACGGGUAGCCGGCCUGAGAGGGCGACCGGCCACAGUGGGACUGAGAGACGGCCCAGACUCCUACGGGGGGCAGAAGUGGGGAAGAUUGCACAAUGGGCGGAAGCCUGAUGCAGCAACGCCGCGUGCGGGAUGACGGCCUUCGGGUUGGAAACCGCGUUCAGCAGGGGCGAAGCUUGUGGUGACGGUACCUGCAGAAGAAGCACCGGCUAACUACGUG